ensembl:lncRNA
GAGUUCUAGGUUCAUCAUAAGCUGUAAUUCUGAAUGAUAGAUUUUUAUUUUAUAUAUUUUCAUCUUUCAUAUUUGUAAACAUUAUCCCGUAUCAUAUCGUGUCAUGCUGUUGUGUAGCUUGCUGUAUAGUGUCAUGUUAUUGUGUAGCUGCUAUAUUUUGUAAUGUUGUUGCUGUAUAGUGUCAUGUUGCUGUAUCGUGUGCUGUAUAGUGUCAUGUUGUUGCUCUAGUGUCAUGUUGUUGUCAUGUUGCUGUAUCGUGUCAUGUUGUUGUGUAGCUGCUGUAUUGUGUUGUUGUGUAACUGCUGUAUAGUGUCAUGUUGUUGUGUAGCUGCUUGUAUUGUGUCAUGUUGCUGUAUUGUGUCAUGUUGUUGAUGUAUUGUGUCAUGUUGUUGCUGUAUAGUGUCAUGUAUAGUGUCAUUUUGCUGUAUCGUGUCAUGUUGUGUAGCUGCUGUACUGUGUCAUGUUGUUGCUGUAUCGUGUCAUGUAUAGUGUCAUGUAGCUGCUUUAUUGUGUCAUGUUGCUGUAUAGUGUCGUGUUGCUGUAUAGUGUCAUGUUGUUGCUGUAUCAUGUCAUGUUGUUGUAUAGCUGCUGUAUAGUGUCAUGUUGUUGCUGUAUAGUGUCAAGUUGCUGUAUCAUAUCAUGCUGUUGUUGUAUAGUGUCAUGUUGUUGCUGUAUAGUGUCAUGUAUAGUGUCAUGUGUUGCUGUAUAGUGUCCUGUUGUUGCUGCAUCGUGUCAUGUUGUUGCUGUAUAGUGUCAUGUUGUUGUAUCGUGUCAUGUUGUUGCUGUAUAGUGUCAUGUUGUUGCUGUAUAGUGUCAUGUUAUUGCUGCAUUGUGUCCUGUUGUUGCUGCAUCUUGUCAUGUUGUUGCUGCAUCGUGUCAUGUUGUUGUGUAGCUGCUGUAUCGUGUCAUGUUGUUGUGAAGCCGCUGUAUCGUGUCAUGUUGCUGUGUAGUUGCUGUAUCGUGUCAGGUUGUUGUAUAGUGGCAUGUUAUUGUGUAGCUAUUAUAUUGUGUAAUGUUGUUGCUGUAUAGUGUCAUGUUGUUGCUGUAUCGUGUGCUGUAUAGUGUCAUGUUGUUGUGUAGCUGCUGUGUUGUGUCCUGUUGUUGCUGUAUAGUGUCAUGUUGUUGCUGUAUCGUGUCAUGUAUAGUGUCAUGUAGCUGCUUUAUUGUGUCAUGUUGCUGUAGUGUCAUGUUGUUGUAUAGUGUCAUGUUGUUGCUGUAUCAUGUCAUGUUGUUGUGUAGCUGCUGUGUCGUGUCAUGUUGUGUAGCUGCUGUAUAGUGUCAUGUUGCUGUAUCGUGUCAUGCUGUUGUUGUAUAGUGUCAUGUUGUUGCUGUAUAGUGUCAUGUAUAGUGUCAUGUUGUUGCUGCAUCGUGUCAUGUUGCUGUGUAGCUGCUGUAUCGUGUCAUGUUGUGUAGCUGCUGUAUCGUGUCAUGUUGUUGUGUAGCUGCUGUAUUGUGUCAGGUUGUUGUAUAGUGUCAUGCUGUUGCUGUGUCGUGUCAUGUUGUUGGGUAGCUGCUGUAUCGUGUCAUGUUGUUGCUGUAUAGUGUCAUGUUGUUGCAUCGUGUCAUGUUGUUGCUGUAUAGUGUCAUGCUGUUGCUGUAUAGUGUUAUGCUGUUGCUGUAUAGUGUCAUGUUAUUGCUGUAUAGUGUCCUGUUGUUGCUGCAUCUUGUCAUGUUGUUGCUGCAUCGUGUCAUGUUGUUGUGUAACUGCUGUAUCGUGUCAUGUUAUUGUGUAGCUGCUGUAUCAUGUCAUGUUGUUGCUAUAUAGUGUCAUGUCGCUGUAUAAUGUCAUGUUGUUGCUGUACAGUGUCAUGUUGCUGCUCUAUAACGUCAUGUAUAGUGUCAUGUUGCUGUAUCGUGUCAUGUUGUUGUGUACCUGAUGUAUUGUGUCAUGUUGUUGCUGUAUCGUGUCAUGUUGUUGUGUAGCUGCUGUAUCGUGUCAUGUUCCUGUAUAGUGUCAUGUUGUUGUGUAGCUGCUGUAUCGUGUCAUGUUGCUGUAUCAUGUCAUGUUGUUGCUCUAUAGUGUGAUGUUGUUAUGUAGCUGCUGUAUCAUGUCAUGUUGCUGUAUCGUGUCAUGUUGUUGUUCUAUAGUGUGAUGUUGUUAUGUAGCUGCUGUAUAGUGUCAUGUUGUUGUGUAGCUGCUGUAUCGUGUCAUGUUGUUGUGUAGCUGCUGUAUCGUGUCAUGUUGUUGUGUAGCUGCUGUAUCACAGACUCAGAUUUCUUCAGUGAACAAACAGAACUGUAAUUCACUCUGAGCAUGAACAUCGCUUAAAUGACUUGAAAAAUCUGUCUGGCAGGCAGAGGUUUGACACAAGCCUCAUAAAAGCCAAGGCGGCGUUAAUUAACAUCCAAAUCUGCAAGUGAAAUCUUUCAAAUUCCUCAUCGAGAAAGAGAAACACAAACGGAAACGCAAAAUUAAUUUCCACAAAUAGGCACUGCGCUGGACAAGGUUAUGAAACUUCAGCG